GUGUUAUUAAUCUAGUCGACGUUAAACAAUUGUACAUCUAUCUGGGAAAAUUAUUUAUUGUGGAUUUGUGGUUUCUCGUUUGGCUGUUUUGUUGACUGGCGCCAUUUAUGUUUUCCCUUUUAUACGAUUGCUGUACAUUGACUGAAAAUCAAUUGUAAGGUGUUCAACCCUUUUCUGCCUUAACAUUAAUUUUGAUCGACUGUCAACUUGUAUACCGGGUUUAUUAAACUCUUACGAGAUAACUGUUAGUGAAUUUCAAAAGUGUGGUUAACAAUUGUUAAGAGUCAUCUUGGAGAUGGUAACUAAAAAUUGUCUACAAUACCUGUCUUUUCACCAGCAGCCAUUCAUAAUGUGCGAAUUGUUGACAAGAAACUGUCGAUUUCAUGAUGGAUCGUUUUGCUAACAUAGUUGGAUCACAAUUCUCAAAAUCAACAACAACAACAACAGCAACUGUAUUUCAAAAGCAACGACGCAGGCAAAGGAAAACCAACACCAUCAUCAAUUGACUUGAACUCCAAUUGAACGAUGAAAAAUAAAUAGCUCAAAGAUCUGAGAGUUGCUGAGAGAGGCAAAGGAGAGAUAGAGGUAGAAAGAAUGGUGAAAAACAAAGAAGGAUAAAUAAGAAAAGAAAUGAGUAGAUUGAUGAAAAUAAAGAAAGAGGAGUAACACUGUUGGGUGUUCCCAAUAAGCAAGUUAAAAAUUGCUGUUUAUUUGUCAUUUCUCACUCUUUCUUUCUUGUCCACCCCAUCAUUCUUGUCUUCCUUUUUUUGUCUCUUGUCGGCGUUUCAAGUAAUUUUGACAAGACUGCAUUGUCAAGAGUCCUUCUCUAUUCCAUCUCUCUUCUCUCUCUCAUCCUCCUUCGUCUUUAACUUCAACAUUUUACAAAUAUGACAAGCUGUCAUAAAGUCAUUGCAUAUUAACCUCAAAGUCUUAAUGAGAGUCAAGGAUCACAGCUUAUGUUGAUGUUACGGCUAAAUGAAUAACUCAAGUGAAAAUAUGAUGGACGAUUUUUUUGGUGACCCAAUGAUAUUGAUGAUGACAAUGACAAUGACAGAGAUGACUUUUUUGUCUUGUUGAAAAGCAAACUAAAAAAUGUCCAUGCAACCUUUGUAAUACUCAUGGACUUUUCUUUCCUUUGCAUUCAUAUGUCUUUUUACAAAAAGUGUUUGACAGUUGAAGGAAAAAAAACUGUCAUCAACAUGACAACAUUAGAAACAAAUUUGGUGCAAAAAGUCACUUUUAAACAGUUGCACAGAUGAUGCUAAUGAUAAUUUUAAUGUUUUCAGCCACUUGGCAAAUUACUCAUCAUGAAUAACCACGAUUUCCUAGUAACACAUCCUCUGUAAAGCCUGUAUAAAAACCUCAACGAAAGAAAAAAAAAUCAUUUGAUGUUUCUAACAAAAUCACCAUGAUUUUAUGGUGUUCGUGAUGAGACUACAAGAAAAAGGGAAGAUGAAGAGCCAAUGCAACUCCAAUCAAGCUGUCGGAUAAGUCUAACAAACAAUUCAACAAUGGACACUGGACAUUCAAAACUCUAAAAAAGGACAAUAGGAGAAUGCUCGAUGGUCAGUGAUUUUGAAAAAAGGCAAGAUUGUGAUUUGCGACUCCAAACUCCAAAGUAUCCAGGAAAUGUCCAAACUUAAGGAAAGCGAAUAAAGGGGAUUCAAUGAAGCUUGUAAUAUAUUGUCACCCAAAGCAGAUAUUCCCAUAAAAACUUGGCGGAAAACUGGAUUAUUGAGUUGCUUGAUAAGAGAGAAGAAGAGAGAGAGAGAGAGAGAAAAGUUUUGCUUCUUACAAAAUUGCUGUUAAAGCAUCAUCACUGUGCAUCAUCUUUUGCCAAUUUAUUUUCAAUUUACAAGUUAACAAGUGCUAAGCUCAUUCAAUAUACAGCUCAUUUUUUUAAUCAGUUAAACAUGAGCUUCAAGUGUUUACUGGUUAAUUUUCAUGAUAACAAGCAAUUUACCCUGUUGAAAGAAGUUAACCAUUGAUGCGUGAGCUGUGUGUGUGUGUGUGUGUGCAUGUGCAUAUGAAUAUGUGUGAGUCUUUAAUGAAAGCGCGUUUGAAUGAUGAACUCGCCCUUUUUUUGCUGUUGCAUUUUUGGUUUUACAUUUUUACUGACUUAUUUAAAAAGGAUAGUUCGUGUGUAUGUGUGUGAAUCUCCCAAAACUAUGAGUAACAAUCAAAAACAACAACAGCCCAGUACGAUCUGUUGUAAAGAGAGAGGAGAGAGAAAUGGUUGUUUGAUUGUGUAAUAAAUUUCAUGUUUAACAGAUUAAUGGAGCGUAGUUCCAUAAUGGGUUUGCCAGUUAGCUUAAGAAAAUAUCAUGGCAAAAGAGGCAAGGGAUGAGAAGAAGAAGAAUUUUCUCCACUCAAUGAUUCUUUUUUGUUUCUGUUGUUUGCUGAUUUCCAAAAUUUCAUCGCCAUCACAAGGAGUAACAUCACCAAUAUCAUCAAUAAUCUUGAAUUCACCACUAUCAACUUGAUCAUUUUCAUCACCAUCACCACCAAGAUGGUGAUGAAAAUUUUCAUUCCCAUGAUUAUCAUCUUUUGGCAACAAAUUUUUCUCAAGUGGUGAUGUUGAUAAAUCUGAAAGAUGAAGAGUUAUGAUUGUUGAUACUCUGUGAGGAUCAAUUGCUCGUUUGGUUAAUUUAACAAUUUUAAUUUUUAAGUAUUGAUCCAUCAUUCAGUAAGCAGGCUUAACUUUAUUUUUCUUCAUCUUUCCUCUCUUUUUUAUACAUAUAUUUAUGUGCAUAUGCUUAUAUUUUAAAAAAUAUUUAUAUUUAUUAUCAUCAUUAACUAUACAUAUUUAUUAUCGUCUAUUCACCUCACAACAGUCUAAUGAUAAUCACGGUAGUUAAUAAUGGCAAUAAUAAAUAUAAUUUAUUAGCCAUGAAUCAACCUGAUCUUCAUUUAAUUGUUACUUUUUUUCACUUAUAAAUAUACAUAUACAGGGUGUAUCAGUCAAAUAGCCGGUUUUGAAUCGCUAAUAACUUUUUCGUCCUUUGCUCGAAUUCGAAAUUUUUUGCAAAUCCAUAUUGUCAAUGAGUCAAAGUUUUGUUUUUGGUAACUUUCAAAGAGGAUAAAUGAGUCUACAGGGUGCAACACUGCCUCAAAGUCAAAAAAGUUUAUUUUCAAUGAAGGCUUCGUAUAUCGACUUCGAGUCAUAGCUCGUGAGUGAAAGGACGCAGAAUAUUUUAGAAGAUAUCAUCCGAAUCAUAAAUUUUGACUAAUUAACUAUAAGGAUUUGAAAAAAAUUUUAAAUUCGAGCAAAGGACGAAAAAGUUAUUAGCGAUUCAAAACCGGCUAUUUGACUGAUACACCCAGUAUAUAUUUAUAUUUAUAUUACAUCCAAUAUAUUAAAAAAAAGCAAAUGAUAAUGAGCCUCAUCAAAUUAAUUACAAUAUCUUUCAUCCUAAAGCUGAUUAUAAACCAUUUGCUUGUUGAGGCUAACAUUUAUAAACUGUAGAACCUCUCAUAAUAUACUUUAACUUCGAUAUAUUUAUAUAUAUAUUAAUUUGAUAGCAAAAGUUAACCUUAUUCAUUCCUAUUAGUUUAUUAUUCUGCUUAUUAUUAUAUACAUGAUAAAAUUUUCAUCAUCAUUCACAAAUCUUAUGUGAAGGUUAACAUCUUACCUUUUUUUUAAACUACAAAGUUGCUUUUAUUAAACCAACAAAUCAAAAGAGCAAAACUAGCAAAAAGCUGCGUCAAAAGAAAAGGAUGAAAAUGAUGAUUUAUUUAUUGUUGUAAUAACCAUAAUAAUAAUGAUGAUAAUAAUUUCAUUUCUUUUUUUCCCUCAUUUCUAGGAUUUACAUCUUUUUUGGUGAGAAAUGCAAAUUACAAUAAAGUAAUUUGUUUAACUCAAUUGUACAAUUGCCAGUCAACAUACAAUGAAUUUUUCACCUUGUAAUCUAGUUGGAUUACAUGGGAACAUUGAGCCUGACUUUGCUGCUGCUGCUCGGUAACCGAACAAGAAGCUAAAAAAUACUCGAACAGACCAUGAACCUGAACAUUUGGCAAGUUGACGAGCCAGUUGGAAGGGAAUAAAGAUUCUGAUGAAACUCAAAGAUUUGGAUUAUUGGAAGUUUUUAAAGCAAAGAAGUUUAAAGCCAGCAGUUGCGAGUUUUGAUGAUCGGAGUAAAUGAACUUCGAUUGAUUCUAUGGAUUGGAUUGUAUCAAAUUAACCAUUAAAUACAGUCGAUGAGUGCUGUGACAGGCUUUCAUUGGCAAACCUUUGCAUUGGAAGCUUUUGGUCAACUUGGAUGAUUCAAUUUCUUAGGGAAAACUUGAGUUUCCAUUUUUCAAUUACCAAUCUUGAAAGUGUUACCUUGAGCCUUGUAAAAGGGCAACACUUUGCUCAGUUUAAUCACACAAUUUCCGGGUUCCUCCGGUAAUCCGUUAUGCAAAUGGUUCGACCCUCUGAAAAUUGCGAUGAAAUAUAGACUUAAGUAGUUUAAUAGUUAAUGUUAAUAACAAUAAUAAUAAUAAUAAGCUAAAUCAAAGUUGAGUUUCACAUGAAUCAAAAACGUGAUUUAAAUGUUAAUCAUGUUAAUGUGUUCACGUAGUCCAAGCUUUGUUUUAUGAAUCUUUCUUUUUUUUGUUUUACCUUCUUUGCCAUUCUGUGUGUCUACUUGUGUGCACAAAUGGCACAAGAAAAAGGUAAUGAAGAUGAUGAUGAUAAAGAGUAGGAGGUGAAGGAGGAGGAGGUUGACUUGAAAAAGAGGAGUCAAUCGGAGUGUUCAACUUGAUGUUUAAAUAAACAUGAUGAGGGAACCUUGAAAAUUGAAGAGCCAACAACUUUGUUAUUACAUUAACAUUUUAAUGUUGCUUAUUAUUUGUGUGUGUGUGUUGUUUUUGCUGUUGUAAGCAAGGCAACUUAUUCAUCAUGAACAGGCCAACAGGGAAACAAUUCAAUUAACAUGGUUUAGUAUCAACUUUUGGUUCCCCAGAAAACAUGGUUAAUCGAGUUAUUUGCAUUAUUGUGACAAGAAACAACACUUGGACUCAAACUUAUUGGUUACAAUGGGAAUCACUUUGGCCUCAAGUGGAGUCUCGUAUAGUUAGGAGUUGAAAUUUGGCAAAUUUGGAGUUAAUUUGAGAUCGCUUCCACAUUCACUUGAUUUGAUAAUUUUAGCUUUUGUAAUUUGGAUCAUUUCUGGACGGAUAAUUGCACGAUAAAUCAAAGUUUUCAUUGAAUACUUUAUUAGUCGAUCAUCAGACGGGAAAAUAAUUAUCAUUAUGUGAUCAAUAAUUAUACAGAAAAUUAUCUCUUCUCCUCUUAUUAAGAGAUAAUAUCUUUUGUGUGACACAUUAAAAUCAAUAUGAGACAUCAUCAA